rnacentral:lncRNA from 1 species
GUACCCUAUAAUAUAUGUGUUUUCACUCCCGGCAUCAUUGCAACUUUUUGUAUUUACGUUUGAGAUAAAAUGUUGACACAAAUUUGGAAGUUUAAUGAUGAUAACAUCUGUGAAAUCCACAAACAAUAUCAGUUUCGUUUAUAUUAAUUAAUCUUCACUUAGACCACAAUAUCCCAUUCGCAACCAUCACCUUCCCCCGUCCUGCAAAGUGAAGGAAAAAAGGGGAUCGAGACUUCUUGUGCAAUAGGACACAAAAUUGAAUUCAAAGAAGGGUCUUGCAAAUACAACAACACCGAAAUUCGAUUCAUCUCAUACCUACUUCCAUUUCGUUGCAGCAUAUGGGUGCUAGUGACUUUGGAGGAAUAAAACGCUGGCAAAUGGCUUACGAGUCGAAGAUCGAAGCCACGGAGACCUUGUAUUCAGUCAUUGUCUUUAGUGAAAAUGGGGAAUACGGAAAUCCUCGUGCCGCUGAGUGAAGGUUUCAGUUGCUGCUCAAGGGUUUCGGUGAUUUUGGGGAAAAAUAGUAUAGUAACGGGUUUAGAGCUUGGGAGAAAAGAGUGUAGUAAUGGGUUUAGAAUUAGGGCCAGUUUGAAAGGAGUUUCACAUUUCUUUUCUUUUUUUUUUAACCUCCAAUUCACCCCUGUCAAUCAAUGUGUUAAGAUCUUUCAUUUUUUUUUUAGGAUAUUCAUGUAUCCCAACUUACACUAAACUAAAUCCUGAACCUCCAAAAUCCUUGCCCCUAGAACCUUGGAGAGGGUAAAUCGCGGGUUAUGCCUCAACUGGAUCACAGGUUCCCCCACCGCCUGUACACUUCUGCGUACAAGAGAUCCUCCUCCAAAGUGAUUGCUCCAUACCAAAUAAAUCUGACCGCAGAUUCCCACCAGGAUUCGAACCUCCACCCUACCGCUGAAAGCAAGACAAUGUUGAUUGAUCCACCAAUUGAGCUGUGCCCCCGGGGGCUUAAGAUCUUCUGUUACAGUAGUGCAGUCCACGUUCAUUUUAGAAGGGUAACUAUGCAUUUUGGGAUAGUUUUGAGGUGG